AUUAGGGCCGUGUGCAACAGGGUAGUGCGUUUUAAAAACGCCCCCUGAGGCCGUGUAUUUUAUUACAACGUUGAGAAAGCGUUGUCGUUGAGGCGCCUGUUUCCCUUAACCCUUGUGCGCCCGCCCGCCUGUUCUCGGGGCGUGGGGGCGUGGAGACCCCCGAGGGGCGUGUGUGUUAUUAUGAUGAUGAUGUUGAUGAUGUUGAUGUUGAUGAUGUUGAUGAUGAUGAUGGUGAUGAUGAUGAUGAUGAUGGUGAUAGUGAUAGGGUGUGGGGGGGGUCCUAGCGACCCCCUCAGGGCAUAUGUGUUAUGAUGAUGAUAGGGUGUGGUGGGGGGUCGCUAGGACCCCCUCGGGGCAUAUGUGUUGUUAUGACGACGAUGAUGAUGAUGAUUAGGGUGGGUGGGGGUCGCUAGGACCCCUCGGGGCGCUUGUGUUAUUACAACGUCGGCGGCGUCUGGGAAGCGGCGGUGCGUGAAGCGGCGCAGUUGGGACAGUACGUGACGGCGCAGUUGGUGCACACGUACACUCGGCACUCGUGGCACAGGAUCUUGGUCUUGACGUCUUUGCUCCUGGGACACACGCGGCACCUUCGCCUCUUGACCGGAGAGGAGUCGUGCGGCGUAGCGGCGGUGGCGGCGGCGGUGGUGGUGGUGGUACGAGUAGUACGAGUAAUACGAGUAGUACGAGCAGCAGCAGCGGCAUCGGCAUCAGCAUCAUCAGCCUCAGUAGUAGUACCUCGGGCCGCGACUCGGCCUCCUCCUCCUCCUCCCUCCUCCUCGCGCCAACGCCCUGGCUUCGAUCAUGGGGCACGCGAGCGCUUUGCCCAGCCGCUCGAGGAAGAGCCUUCGUUUGUUGAGCUUGCCCGCCAUCCAGUCGGGGUGAAUUUCCCUCCAGAGCACGAACGCGUUGUAUGCCGCCACGUCCACCAUGUUGUGGAAAAGGGCCACGGGCCACCUGCAGGUCUUUCUCCUGCAGCUGUACGUGCUCACGACCUUGUCCAGGUUGUCGACGCCUCCCUUGGUGCGGUUGUAAUGCAGCACCAAGGGAGGUUUGCCGCCGCCGCCGUUGCUGUUGCUGUUGCUGCUGCUGCGGCUAGGCCGGGGCUCGGGGCCGGAGCGGCUGCGGUGGUGGUGGUGGUGGUGGUAGCGAGGAGCGGUGGUGAGGAGCAGCACGUUCUUGUUCUUCUUGGCCACGUAGGAGAGGAUGAUCGUGUCUGGCCCCUUCCUCCUCCUCCUCCUCCUCCUCCUCUUCUCGGUCCCGCAGAGCCGCCGAGUACUACGGAUUCCACGGAGCCCACGGCCCUGCCCUUGACACAUC
rnacentral:lncRNA from 1 species